ACGGAAGGCAGCAGUGGGGAAUAUUGGGCAAUGGGCGAAAGCCUGACCCAGCGACGCCGCGUGAGGGAAGAAGGUCUUCGGAUUGUAAACCUUUGUUGUAAGGGACGAAACAAAUGACGGUACCUUACGAGGAAGCCACGGCUAACUACGUGCCAGCAGCCGCGGUAAUACGUAGGUGGCAAGCGUUAUCCGGAUUUACUGGGUGUAAAGGGUGUGUAGGCGGGCAGGCAAGUCAGAUGUGAAAACUAUGGGCUUAACUCAUAGCCUGCGUCUGAAACUGUUUGUCUUGAGGGUCGGAGAGGUAACUGGAAUUCCUGGUGUAGCGGUGAAAUGCGUAGAUAUCAGGAGGAACACCGGUGGCGAAGGCGAGUUACUGGACGAUUACUGACGCUGAGACACGAAAGUGUGGGGAGCAAACAGGAUUAGAUACCCUGGUA
rnacentral:rRNA from 1 species